GCCAGUAUGGCAUAGUGGUUUGAGUGUUGGACUAUGACUCUGGAGAUUAGGGUUCAAAUCCUGGCUCGGCCA
rnacentral:tRNA from 1 species